UUUAUUUUGAGAAGUAGGGAGGAACCAAGAGACUCAGUAGAUUUCAGGCAUCUUUAAGAAAUGCAGCAGUAAUAUUGAUUCAUGAAGAGCAAUCCUGUUUCCAGAAAAAGAUAAUUAACCAGUUAUAAAAAAACACGAGUUGUUUGUAACAUUUUUCUUCACUAGCUCUCAUUGAACUUCCUUCUGCAGUAUGAAAGUGCCAUGAGUUCACUUCACCUGAAUCUCAGGUGAGCUAGACAACCAUAAAUGCUAAAGACACGAUUUGGGAAUGGAGACGGAUUUUAAGUAAGCUCGGAUGUCCCACUCCCAGUUGAAGUAAAGAAACAGUUUGAAAAUACAAAUUGUCAUCAGUACGCUUGAGAACAAGGCAAACAACAGUGUUGUCUAAGCCAAGCCAUCUUUCUCCUGCACCAAGAGGCCAUAAGUGAUAGCAGGUGAAAAAGAGAGAAAUGACCAAACUGUCUGAAGCGUUAAAAGAGAGCACUUUGAUGGGCUGUCCAUAUUGAACAACUGUGUCUGUGUACCUACUUAGCCCUCUGGUAUUGCCGAAGAGCAAAUAAUCAUAAAACGUUUAAAAAUACAGUUAUCUUAUGGUAUGCUGGAUGAUAUCAGGUAAUAUAUUUAUCUUUUUUGCUCUUUCCAGAGACUUCUAUCUGCAAUUUAUCACAUAGGCUAUGUCACUUUUUCUAGUUGUGGUCAGUACCACAGAAAUGUUUUUAUUUUGAGCAAUGACUUUUUUCUUUUUAAUCAUGCAAAUGAAGGUCUUUCAUUUUGUACUGUUACAUUAUAUCUGAAGUAGAUUUGUCCUAUUUUGUGACAAACCCUGGUUCCAAUGUUGAAUGCAACAAGUCAAGCCAUGCACUGGGCUUUGCAAGUACUGGAAGUAAAAGGAAUAGCGGCCUAUAAAGUCAUAGCAUCAUUUAGGUUGGAAAAGACCUCUAAGAUUGAGUCUAGCCAUUAAUCCAGCACUGCCAAGUCCACAACUAAACCACAUCCCUAACUUUGCCCUUUCUGUUCUGUGGGUGGGUUGUGCAAUAGUUAGGGGUGCACAAACUCAAUGCAGAUGCUCUGUGAGCAGCUCAGAUUGGGGAGCAGCCUGUCCACUGUGUGGACUCCCAGGCCUCUCUGGCUGGCAGGGUAUUUCUUUCCCUGAUUGCUGUGGAUGCUGACUGUACUAUAUUUAAGAUGAAAUAGCUGGGACUGUGCCUUGCUCCAGGAGGAAGAUGCUUACUGCUUCCUUUCUGUGCGGUACUCGCAAACCCUGGGGCAGGGAGGCUGCACACUCGGGGCCGCACGGCGGGCUGAGGGUCCAUCCCCCCAGCAGCUCUCUCCUCACCCCGGCGCCAGAAACCCGCACCGGAGCCCCGCAGCCGCCUGCUUGCAGGCUCUGGGGAGGCUGUGGUUGAUUUACUCCCCUAGAUUUCGGAAUUCUCACGUUGACCUGGACGCGCUUGUGUCGCUGCAAGGCGCUCGGAGCCGGUCCCGUAUCGGCUGUCGCCAGCAAGGGGAGCUCCGCAUUUGGAUAGGAUCCGAAAGACAGGCCAGGGACGGUACUGCCACGGCCAGGAGAGGGAGAAUGCUGUAAAAUGACAUUAAAUCGAUGUGGGGCUUAAUCCUGCUGUGGGCUGGAGAAAGAAGGGGAAAGAUCAAACAAGUGCCGUGGGCUCCAGGGUGAUAUUUGGGGCACUUCUGAACUCUGCAAAUCAUAUAAUAGAAUUAUUGAAUUAUAGAAUGAUUUGGUUUGAAAGUACUUUUAAAGUUAGUAUUCUAGUUCCAACCUUCCUACCAUAGGAAGGGGCACCUCCCACCUAGACCAGGUUGCUCCAAGCCUUGUCUAGCCUGGCCUUAAACACUUCCAAAGAUGGGGCAUCCACAAUUUCUCUGGGCAAACUGCUGCAGUGCCUCACCACCCUCACAAGAAAGAAUUUCUUCCUAAUAUCUAGUAUCUUCCUACUAUCUACCCACUUUCAGUUUGAAGCUAUUCCCCCGUGUCCUAUCACUACAUGCCCUGACAAAAAUUUCCUCUCCAGCUCUCCCCUUUAGGUACUGCUAUAGAUCUCCUCAGAGCCUUGUCUUCUCUAGGCUGAACGGCCCCAACUCUCUCAGCUUGUCUUCACCGGAGGAGUACUCCUGCCCUCUGAUUAUUUUCUGAAGUCCUCUGAACCUGUUCCAACAUGUCCGUGUCUCUCCUGUGCUGAGGACCCUACAGCAGUGCCUGGAGCAAGCAUGUGCCUGCCUGUAGUGAGGGAAAUUGCUGGACAUUUUACAAAGUGAGGGUCUACCUUGCUAUAGUAGCCCCUCUUUGCUCUUCUUCACUGCUGUUAAUCACUCUUCCCCAAUCACCAGAAACUUAAGAGAAGUGUCUUCAAGCUCUGAUUGCUCCAGAAGCUUUCCUGUGAGCUGUGUGUAUCACAGCUGUUAAAGCUUUAUGAAACUUGACAUCAAAGUUUCCCCUAUGAUGAAACCCUGAGCAGUCUCUCUGGUUUUGGUACAGGCUGGGAAUCAGUGUGAUCAUUUUACAGAAAGCUCAAAUAUUUUUUUCUUGGAUGGAAAACAUUUUGUUUUACAGUAUUGCAGUCACAGUUAAAGAUGUAAUAACAAGUACAGCAUCAUAGCAAUCAACAACACCCAUAGUAAGUAUGUUUUCAGUUUGUAUAAAAAAA